CGAUGAAACAUGUAUGUUUUUUUGAUUUUGGCCGUGGAACUUAGCUUAAAAACUUAAAAAAACAAAUAACUCAUACCUUAAAUAAUUAAAAAUAAAGUAACUUGUAUAAUGUAUAAUAAAAAAGACGUCCUAGGAUGAUGGAGACGGGUGCACCUGCCACUGUUAUAUGUAAUUUAAUGUAUACCUUAGGUGACGAUAAACUAUUGCUAACAAAAAAUGAUUCUAAGCGGAGUUCAGUUGAUAGUGAUGCUUGGUCAAUAAUAUAUAUGUCAUAUUAGAGUAAAAUAAUUAAAUAGGCUUAUUGUAUUUUCUUUAAUAAAUAUUUGUUUAAUGUUGUGCCGAUUUUACUGGUUUUCCAAAUUUGAUGAGAAAACUCCUGAGAAAAUCGAAAAAUGACUUCCCUAGAGGAUCCCCCUACACAUAUUUCCUUUCAGAAAAGGUGUUAAACUUAAAAACCUAAGUAAGAUUUCUGAUAGAAAAGUUGCACACAGAUAAAAAAAAAAAAAAAUUAAUUAACAUUUUUGUAAAACCAUAAGC